GGGGGAAAGUUUCUGACAUGGACGACUCCGUGUCCUGACCAAAUUAUAUUUCAAAGCCAUUCCCUGCUGUAAAAUUCUGUGUUCUUGUAAUGCAUCAAGGGCAGCUCUAAAACUAUGUGUGAAACCCGUCAUGUGUACUUUACACUUCACUGUUUUCCUGGUCUUAACAAUAGUUGCUCCCUGUGCCAGUGGUGUCAUUGUAAAGAGCCCAUUUCUACUUGUGAAGUGCUGUGUUUUGACAAUGUAAGAUUUCCUCCAGAGUUCAUGUUGAAAUGUGGUCACUGUCCUUAGCUUCACAUUUGGUUCAGCCAGCACAUGCUUGCUAAAAUGCCUAAAUUUCACAGAAGGCAGAAACAUGUGUAUUGUAGUCAAAGAGGGAUAGAGAACACAACACAUACUGUAAAGAGAAAGCUUGAGAUUUCAGCAGACUUAAUGGAUACAGCUGACAGGAAGAGAGCAAGGUGUAUGAGUCAUUAAGAGAAACAGAACUUGAAACACCUGUAUAAUAAAUUCAGACAUUGUUAGAAGCCUUCUAAUGGCCAUUUUGGAAGUCGCCAGCUCUGGGGCAACAAUGGCUCAGAAAGCCACUUCUUGUUAAAAUAUGAAUUGUAUGCUUUUAUAAUUGUAUACCACAUACCUCGACAAGCUUACCAUUAACCUGUCAAAGGAACUUGACUCAAUGCAUCUCUCAGUGGCAUUCACUACACCAGAUGAAUAGUGAAAACAAUAAGCAGGCAGCAGCUAUAGUAAAAGUGCAUACAACUCCAGUUUAUUGCGCUUUAUAAUUAGUGGCUUGGAGGGACACAAGACUGUCAGGAUGCCAGAUUGAUUAAUGGGAAAAUCAAUCAAUCAGUCAAUCAAUCAAUCAAUCAAUCAGUGGAACAUCAUGGAGGUUCCCAUGUUUGUUUUUUUAUAGCCAUGCUAGCGGCGUGGCAAUGCUAGGCUGUCAGUUCACCACUUUUGUCCAUAUUGAAAUAUCACAACAACUUUUGGAUGGACAAUCUGUCAUGAAAUUUGGUAUAGACCAGGGGUUGAUGCAUAGACUGUAUAAGUAGGGCCGAAACAUUUCAAUCGCCCCCUGGUGGCUGGCUGCAGUAUAGGUCAUAAAUCCCGCCCCCUCCAUGUUAGUGGAUGGGACAUGGGCCAAACUAAAAAAUCAAUGUAAACGUCACAUACAUUUUUCCCAAAGAUGGUUUCAUGGUCCUCAGAGGAUGACCUGUAAUAACUUUGGUGAUCCAUUAACUUUACAUGUAACCAACAUCAGGUCAAUUUAUUUUAUUUUCCCAGCACUUUAAAACCAAAUACCUGCAAAACUAAUGACAUUCCCGUCAGCUUCAUCUGUACUGCUAAUUAGGAUAUGUUAGCAUGCUAACGCACUACCCAAUCAGUACCAAAACCCCAAUUUGUUCAGGACCUAUUUCCUGACCAAUGGUCGUUGAUCAAAGAUGCACACGGUAAAUAUUAUAUCUUGUGUAAUAUCUGCAUGUUAGUUUUGUCAAUAUGAGCAUGUUAGCAUUGCACUCAAGUACAACCACAGAGCUGCUAGCAUGACUUUAGACUAUUAGUCGUUGCUUAGAAUUGAAAUGUACAUAUUGUCCAAAAUGAAACAGCUCCAGUUUACAACUUUUAACCUAAACUUCCACAAAUCAACAUCAUUAUCAGCUAUUAUGAAUUAGCUAGCUGGUUGAUUAGCUAGAUAAAACAAUAGCAGUUUGCUUAGUUAAAUGGUCUGACUCCACUAAGCCACAGUAGAGCAAGAGCCAAAGGAGCUACAAGAAAAAACCUUGUCACAGUAACCUGGAUUUGGAAACCUUAUCACUCCAUUAAUGCUAAAUGAAUAAGCCCACAUCCACAGCAGACAUGUAUUUCCGUUUUAGCUAUCAGACUUUUAUCCAACGGACCUCCAUGAUGGAACCACACCUAGUUGCCAGGAGAUUUGUCAAACAACUGCAAAGUCUCUAUGGUAAUAAGGUCAUCCGCCAUAUGCUACGGUGUCAGUGUGAUGUAUCAGUCAAUGUAGAAGCCAUCCAUCAGUGCAAUCAAAAGAGAUGAGGGUCAGACAGGGCUUGUCACGGGAGGUUACCGCAGAAAAUAAUUUGUCAUGGCAAUGUCUCUCUGCUGUCACUGCUGUAGCAGGGUCAGUCGUAUCUUCACUCACAGGUCAAAAUAGGAACGCACACUCAGAGACAAGUGUAGGUACAAUUCCACAUGAUGUAUAUAUGAAGACACAAGGAACACUUUCUAGUCAUGUUGUUCACAAUGUGUAACCCAGACGUAAGCGCGUCACACCCCUGACUGAGUAAUGCAGAAGAUGAUGAGGAUGACCAAUUUUGCAUGUCUAUGUCCAAUAAUGGGACACAUCCCAAGACCAACCAGAAACAUGUUUGGAUUGCAAUUUGAUUAGGGCUGCAACUAAUGAUUAUUUUAAUUGUCGAUUCAUCUUGCGAUUAUUUUCUCGAUUUAUCGAUUAGUUGUUUGGUCUAUAAAAUGUCAGAAAAUUGUGAAAAAUGUCGAUCAGUGAUUUCCAAAGCCCAAGAUGAUGUACUCAAAUUUUUUUUUUUUUCUCCACAACUCAAAGAUAUUGAGUUUACUGUCAUAUAGGAGUGUACAAAUAUUCACAUUUAAGAAGCUGGAAUCAGAGAAUUUUCCAAAACCGAUGAAUCGAUUAUCAAAAUAGUUGCGGAUUCAUUUAACAUUUGACAGCUAAUCAAUUUGAUUAAUCUUUGCAGCUCUAAAUUUAAUCAUCACAUGUAGAAAACCUGUGAUUGAAACUGGAAAAGGCUAUAUAUUUCGUUUAUCUUUAUUUCUUUCCUGUGAAUACUCUCCCAGACGUGUGUGUCUCACUGAGAAACCCAUUUUACAAUCUCACCCAUUACUGUCAAGGUAUUUUAGCGCAUUCAAGCCUGAAGUUUAAGAACUAUUCUCUCUCUCAUUAUCCACAGUUAAUUUCUUUUGCUCUGUCCUAUUCAUUCAUCUCCCUCUUUCUUUCACGCUCAUUGCUGGUAAAGAAUUACAUGAGCACACUUUGCAGCCACCCAAACUCAACUGAACUGAACCAUGCCUGUUCUUGUCACUGGCUAUUUGGGCAUACUUAAUGUACUUAACCCACCAUUCUGAUGUUACGUAGAUGUUAAUAAGACGGUUUGUGCCAAAACCAGUGUAAAUGUAGCGCUAAAAAGGACAGUUGAGGCAAUGAGACGCUGCCUGUAGUCACUGCUUCCUUUGUAAUUUUGUUUGGGUUGACAUGACUCUUUGUUCACUGAGCGCAACUCAGUGCCAAAUGUCAAAAGGGCAUUUGUCCGGAUUUCUGUCUGGUUCCUGCCACUGUAUAGUGUACAGAUGAGAUGAUAAAGAAGCGGAGGAAUGGGAAACCUCUGCCUUCUUGCGCUCUCUUUCUUCUUUGGAAACACAAGUUAUUUGCGAAGGGCUAGAACGUGCACUCCUGAGGAUGCACCGUUCAAUAUUAACUCUAUGUAUUUUGUGGUAUCCUCUGCUUGUUCUUGCAUGGGGAGGGUUGCGUAUCCCACUUUCUGUGUUCCCUCACUAAGCAAAACCAGUGUUGCACACUUACUGGCUGGCCACUAGAUACACUCUCAGAAAAAAGUUACAGAUAUGUACCUGAGUUUGGGUUCAGCUUUAGCAACAACUUUGUAGAUUUUUAAGUUACGAUCAGCAGCAAAUAUGAGACAUUCUUUUGGUCGAAGGAAUAAAAUGGUAAGUGGGUUUUCAACACUACAGAUAACACAUUAUAGUCAGAUUUUAUUUUGUAAUUGACAUGCUUGUUGCUGACAGUGUACAGCCAUGGAUAUGUACUUUUCUGUGCAGUUACUUUUAUCUAUGUGCCUUGGAACUUAAUAUAAAACCAUGUGAUAACAUCAAUGUACAGCAAAACAACAUUGUAACCUGUUUUUUUCCCAAAAGCCAAACAACCAAAGGCCUUUGUACUGUACAGACAUGUUGGUAACCAAAACAUACUGUAAAUCAUUUUUAGUAACAUUUUCCCAGCUUACAUAGCUUAUGUUAUGUGUGAUAUAAUGUCGAAAGCAGAUGUUUAUUCGUGACUCUUUAUUGUUGCAUAGAAUAUAAUGUGAUCAUUGAUUGUAAUGGACAGGCCAAUGUCCUCGUCUCUGCGAUUAAAAUGCAGGCCAGUUUCUGCUCCCAUGGUCAA